rnacentral:rRNA from 1 species
UACGUAGGGGGCUAGCGUUGUCCGGAAUCAUUGGGCGUAAAGCGCGUGUAGGCGGUUCGGUAAGUCGGCUGUGAAAGUCCAGGGCUCAACCCUGGGAUGCCGGUCGAUACUGCCGGACUAGAGUUCGGAAGAGGCGAGUGGAAUUCCCGGUGUAGCGGUGAAAUGCGCAGAUAUCAGGAAGAACACCCGUGGCGAAAGCGGCUCUCUGGAACGGUACUGACGCUGAGACGCGAAAGCGUGGGGAGCGAACAGG